rnacentral:rRNA from 2 species
UGGGGAAUAUUGCACAAUGGAGGGAACUCUGAUGCAGCGACGCCGCGUGAACGAAGAAGGCUUUCGAGUCGUAAAGUUCUUUUAUAUGGGAAGAUAAUGACGGUACCAUAAGAAAAAGCCCCGGCUAACUACGUGCCAGCAGCCGCGGUAAUACGUAGGGGGCUAGCGUUGUCCGGAAUCACUGGGCGUAAAUGGUUCGCAGGCGGAAAUGCAAGUCAGGUGUAAAAGGCAGUAGCUUAACUACUGUAAGCAUUUGAAACUGCAUAUCUUGAGAAGAGUAGAGGUAAGUGGAAUUUUUAGUGUAGCGGUGAAAUGCGUAGAUAUUAAAAAGAAUACCGGUGGCGAAGGCGACUUACUGGGCUCAUUCUGACGCUGAGGAACGAAAGCGUGGGUAGCAAACAGG